UACGUAGGGUGCGAGCGUUAAUCGGAAUUACUGGGCGUAAAGCGUGCGCAGGCGGUUCGUUGUGUCGGCGGUGAAAGCCCCGGGCUCAACCUGGGAAUGGCCGUUGAAACUGGCGAACUGGAGUGUGGCAGAGGGGGGUGGAAUUCCCAGUGUAGAGGUGAAAUUCGUAGAUAUUGGGAAGAACACCGGUGGCGAAGGCGGCUCUCUGGACCGAGACUGACGCUGAGGCGCGAAAGCGUGGGGAGCAAACAGG
rnacentral:rRNA from 1 species